CAGCAUAAGGCUAGUAUUACCCUUAUGCUAUGUAUGUAGCAUGUAGCA
rnacentral:ncRNA from 1 species